GACGAACGCUGGCGGUGGGCUUAACACAUGCAAGUCGAACGGAAAGGCCCUGCUUUUGUGGGGUGCUCGAGUGGCGAACGGGUGAGUAACACGUGAGUAACGUGCCCUUGACUUUGGGGUAACUUCAGGAAACUGGGGCUAAUACCGGAUAGGAGCUCCUGCUGCAUGGUGGGGGUUGGAAAGUUUCGGCGGGUGGGGAUGGACUCGCGGGUUAUCAGCUUGUUGGUGGGGGAGUGGCUUACCAAGGCUGUGACGGGUCGCCGGCUUGUGAGGGUGAACGGGGACAAGGGGCCUGAGAGACGGCCCAGACUCGUAUGUGAGGCAGCAGUGGGGAAUAUUGCACAGUGGUCGGACGCCUGAUGCGGCGACGCCGCGGGUGGGAUGACGGCCUGCGGGUUGAAAACAGCUUCCGCCUGAGACGAAGCGUGAGUGACGGUAAUGGGUAAAGAAGCACCGGCUAACUACGUG
rnacentral:rRNA from 1 species